CUGAAACAAUGGCAGGCAGGUGAAAGUGUCUGAGUGGGAAUCCUGUCCUUCUGAUCCCCCACCCACCCACCCAGGGCUCCCCAUGCCCUCCGCUCACCCUUCUGUGAGGACUCAUCUUCUCAGCUUGCAAUGGACAGGAGCCUAGCAUAACUGUCCUCAGAGGGGCUCCACCCAACAGCCGACGGAAACAGAUUCGGAGACCCACAGCCCAAUAUUAGAUGGAGCUCAGUUGAGUCUUGUGGAAGAGUUGGAAGGAUGAUUGAGGGCCCUGAAGAAGAUCGAGACUCCACAAGAAGACCAACAGAAUCAACUCACCUGGACCUUUGAGGGCUACCAGAGACUGAAACACCAACCAGAGAGCAAACAUGGGCUGGGCCUACCCCAACCCCCAGCACAUCUGUAACAGCUGUGCAGCGUGGUCUUCAUGUGGGUCCCCAACAACUGAAGCAGGGGCUUUCCCUGAGUCUGUUGCCUUCCUGUGGAUCCCAUUCCCCUAACUGGCCUGCCUUGUCUGGCCUCAGUGGGAGAGGAUGAGUCUUGUCCUGCAGUGGCUUGAAGUGCCAGGGUGGGGUGAUAAUGGGGGCGGGCAGAAAGAGCUCCUCCUUCACAAAAGAGAUGGGGAGUGGGGAGUGAGGGGAGGAGGCAUAGGGUAGACUGGGAAGAAGGGGGUUGCUAUUGAGAUGUAAAGUGAAUAAAUAAAUAAAUUGAUGAGAAAAAAAAAAAACAGAAAGAAGUCAGCUCACUGAACAUUUCCCCUUAGAAGCCAAGGUAGAUAUAAAAACAGGACUCAGCCUUUUCUGAGGAGAAAGGGAAGAUGGUGGAGGGCGAGGUGAGAGGAGGGUCUAAGAGGAGUGGAUUGAGGGGAAGCUACAACAGGGAUGUAAAGUAAAUUAAUUAUUAAUAAAAUGUGACUCAGAAUCGUC
rnacentral:lncRNA from 1 species